GAUGAACGCUGGCGGCGUGCCUAAUACAUGCAAGUCGAGCGGACCAAAGAGAGCUUGCUCUCUGAGGUUAGCGGCGGACGGGUGAGUAACACGUGGGUAACCUGCCUGUAAGACGGGGAUAACUUCGGGAAACCGAAGCUAAUACCGGAUGAUAAAGAGAAACGCCUGUUUCUUUUUUGAAAGUCGGCCUUGUGCUGACGCUUACAGAUGGGCCCGCGGCGCAUUAGCUAGUUGGUGAGGUAACGGCUCACCAAGGCGAUGAUGCGUAGCCGACCUGAGAGGGUGAUCGGCCACACUGGGACUGAGACACGGCCCAGACUCCUACGGGAGGCAGCAGUAGGGAAUCUUCGGCAAUGGACGAAAGUCUGACCGAGCAACGCCGCGUGAGCGAUGAAGGCCUUCGGGUCGUAAAGCUCUGUUGUCAGAGAAGAACAAGUACCGGAGUAACUGCCGGUACCUUGACGGUACCUGACCAGAAAGCCACGGCUAACUACGUGCCAGCAGCCGCAGUAACAC
rnacentral:rRNA from 1 species